rnacentral:lncRNA from 1 species
GAGUACUCGCCUCUGCACAUUGUCUCUUCUCUAAGUUCUCUUCCCUCUUCCGCGGCUUCCGCGGCUUCCGCCUCCACUGGUGACUGGACCACUGCUCCUGCCGGCUGCCUCUGCCGCCGCCGUCUUACAGGUUUAUGAUUUUGUUUUUAUACUUGUUGUGGAUGAUGAUCAAUUUUGUUUUUCUACUUUUUUUCAUGGCUGAUUGUUGUGGAUUGAAGAAUGACAGAAAUAGAAGGGGCCGAAUGGAAUUUGUACUGGAUAAAUUAUAUAAAAGGGAAACAAAAGAAUUGUUGGGGACAGUUUUUUUUUUUUAGUUUUUUUCAAUAUAUACAUUUAUAUAUUAUAAGAUAUUAGAAGUAUGAUAUGAUUUUUUGUUUGGGAGUUCUUUAAAGGAUUGGGGGUAAAAGUCAUGUUUUUUUUUUUUGGAUUAUUUACAUAUAUUGAAUAAUAACAGUGAAAUGUUUAAAUGUUUAAAUUGAUGAAAUUAUUGAUUAGCAAUUGAUGUUUUUAUUUAUAUUAGAUUAUGGAUAAAUGCUUAAAACAAAGAAUUGGUGAUUCUUCUAAUAAUCAAUUAUCAAGUUCCGAAGCAAGUGGUGUGGUAUUAAUAAUUUUGGCCCGUUUGAUUUAAAAUUUUUGACCCCCUUACAAAAACGUUAUGGUUCCGCCACUGCAGAUAAACAUAUUAUAGGAGCAUAGACAUAUAAAAUACAAUGAACAAACUGGGCCAAAUUACAAAGUGUCAGCAAAACUGCACACAUCUGAAAAUGAAAUUCAAAUUUUAUUUAAUCAUAGUUCAACUUAUGUACAACCCAGCAACAAACAAAUCGGAAACAGUCCAAUAAAGUAAGUAAACAUUUAACUACUAAAAAAAAGGUCCCAAAAAAUGAAAAAUGAAAAAACUAAUAGCUCAAGCUUCUUCCUUUUUGCUAAGCUAAGUGUAAAGAAUAUAGGGAAAGCAAACCAAGAAAUAUAAAAUGAAACAGUUUUUUUAUUUUUUUUAAAAAAACCACACACACACACACAUAUAUAUAUACACACACGUACAUAUUCAGCAUCUGUGAUACACCAAGCUAACCCAUGUAUGGAUUAAUGAAGAUGAUGAUCAGUGGCGGAACUAGGGGGCGGGCGCGGGGGCGGAGNNNNNNNNNNNNNNNNNNNNNNNNNNNNNNNNNNNNNNNNNNNNNNNNNNNNNNNNNNNNNNNNNNNNNNNNNNNNNNNNNNNNNNNNNNNNNNNNNNNNUUUUUUUUUUAAAACAUAUGAAACGACGUCGUUUCAUUAAAAAAAUAAAAUAAAUAAAAAUUACUAUAAUGCUAUCCGAUAUAAAGAAUUAGGGAUUUUAACUUUUUUCUUCUUUCAGUCUUCCCCCUCUCAAAGUCUCACCUCUGCCUCUUCCGAUCUUCUGUGUGCAGAUCUGCUCCUGCACCACUGCUCCUCCAGUCCUCCUCUUCACGACUUCACCUCAUCAGGUUUGUCAAAUAAAUGUGUAUCUAUCUUAAUAUCUAUCUACUUAUAUUAUAAAAUACUAGUAGUCAAUUUUGAUGAAAGAAGUUCACUUAAUUUUCGUGUGCCCACUUUCUGAAUGAAAGAAAUUCAUUUAAUUAUUAUUUUUUUAUUUGUAGUCAAUAGGGAUUAGUACUAAAUUAUGUUGUAAUUUUUUAUGAAUUGUUAAAAACUGAUGGGAUUUUGACCCAAUUUUUUUUAUUGAUUUGUCGUCCUUGUUUUACUUUCAUGUCUGCUAUUUGUUUAAUAGGUUUAAGUCCUUAUUACUUAUAACUAAAAAGACAAAAUUUGAAGUGUUGUUUAUUUGUAUUCAUGUCAAAUAAGACUUCGUUGAUGGGUGUCUGAUUUGAUUUUAAAAAAAAAAAUUGGAGUCAAAAACAGUAUGGGACUCUUGAGGAAAACCCAAGCAGAUUAGCUAAAAUUUGUUUAAUUCCUGUUUCUUAAAUGCUAAGAGAAUUGAUGAAUGAUAAAAUUAUUAUGAAAUGUUUAAAUUGAUAAAAUUAUGCAUUGGGUUGCUAAUAUACUUUUCAUUUUUUUCAAUCUGGGUCAAAAUCAAACCCAAAGCCCUUAACUCCGCUUUCUCACCGCAACCUACACGUCGCUGCUCUGGACCUCCGGUAACCGCCCUCAAAUUUUGACCCCCUCAAAUUUUGUUCGGUUCCACCACUGAUGAAGAUAUAAAAAUCAUACCUUGGUGAGGUAGAAAGAACUUAUGAGAAGGUUGAGAGACUAUCUAUCUAAAUUGUUUAGAUAGAAAAAAAGGCAGAGCUAUAAGAAUUUUGGGGAGUGUCCACUGACCGACCAGUAAAUAGGUGAGAACUGGCAUAGUCAUUUUGGCACGUGAAAAAAAAAUGGGAAACAAACUUUAUCUUUUACUUUUUACUUAAAGGCAGGUGACCGUAAUUUCACCUGGACUAUGUUUGUCUGCAAGGAUUAUAAUUCCAAAAUUAUAAUUCAUAAGAUUAUAAUUGCAAGACUAUUAAUCAUUUGUUUGCAAGGAUUAUAAUUUCAAGACUAUUAAUCCUAGAAUUAUACUCAUGGAAUUAUAAUUAUUUUGUCAAGACUAUUAAGUCAUUUUAUAAUCUUGAGACUAAUAGUCUCAAGUCUAAAUUUGAAAACAAA